rnacentral:lncRNA from 1 species
AGAAGACAACACAGCACAGAAAACCCAAAUUGCCACUUCUACUAAUAAAAGAUAACCUGUUUGAAAAGUAAUUAUAAACUACCUUCUUUGCGUUAUUUCUCAAAACUUUUGUGGCACAAAUGUUAUUUCCAUUGACAACAGUACGAAAUACCGCCCCUUUCACUUGAGCAGGAGCAAAGCAAAGGUAUGAUGAGCUAUCUCUGUAUAAUUGAAACGCCAUUACUAAACGAUUCUUGAUGAUGGGAGCCACCGUGCCAGCUUUGUCGCUGAUUUGCAUGAUUUAUUAGUUGUCCAGAUGGCGGAUUUUGUACUGUUACCUUCUUUUCAUUCUUCAGAGCCAUGUACAGUUCUAGGAUACCAGAGAAACCAAGGUGGCAUUGAAGUUGCCCCGGUGGUUAGUUUUCAGAUCAUUUUUUUUUAAUUCAAUUAUUUAUGUUUUUAGAAAAAUGUAGGAAAUAUGUAGAAAUGUUGACAGCUAUGAUUUUGAAACUUUUGCCUAAAAUUAUUAUCAUUACUUAUUGUUUCUUAUUUAAAGAGAAAUCCUAGAAACAUGAAAUGAUUAUUCUACGCUUGUUUUAAUAUUAUACUAUGAAGAUUAUGAAGGUUUGAUUAUAUGUCACUAUCAAUUGCCUUAAUCGUUUGUCGUAAAUCAAUUAAGCAUUUUGAUGCGAAUGAUUCCCUAUUAAAAAAUUCAAGUCAGAGCUGAAUUGCAAAGUAGUUAGUCGUGCUUGCAAUUCAAAUUAAGUAUUGUAUUUUCUCCCUGAUUUGGUUGAUUCAACUAUGUGCAUUUGCUUAUGAAUGUUGUAGUAUAGAAAUCGAAACAUCUUGUCUUUUGCUAAGCCCAGAAGCAAAUUCUUUGUAUUCUACUCAUCAGUUUUCUUCAUUCUCUUCGUUGAAAUUUUAUCCAAACAGCGGUUUCGAAAUUGUUUUCACUACAAUACCUUAGUCUUUCAGAUGCUCCCGUCACUGAGUUGCCAGAAGAGCUAAAAGCCUUGGUAAAUCUUAAGUGUUUGAACCGGAGUACACAAAUUAUCUCUCUACAAUUCCGAAGCAACUGAUUUGUUACUUUUUGAUGCUACAUGUUCUGCGAAUAUUCAGUUGUGGUUAUCUUGUUCAAAUACCAGAAAAUAGCGUUCUAUUUAGUGGUAAUGAAUUCUUGGUUUGGGAGUUGCUUAGUUUAAAACGUUUAAAUGUAUUAAGCAUCAUCUUGAAAAGUUUUUCUGCCGUCCAAAAACUUAUGAGCUCCCAAAAGUUUCAAAGCCGUACACAAUGCUUGGAGCUUCUAGACUGUGAUGAUCCAAAGUCAUUUGCCUUGGCAGAGUUGAAGCAUCUUGAAAAACUAGGUUUUUCGAGUUGUGGAAAUUUGGAAGAGUUAAAGUUCUGCUGUGUCGAAGUUGCAAAGGCUCGAGAAUGUUUUCGUUUGAACGGCCCUCACUGAGUUAAGAUGAAGGCUUGUCAUAAAUUGUGGG